rnacentral:rRNA from 1 species
UAGUAGCGGCGAGCGAAGCGGGAAGAGCUCAAAUUUAUAAUCUGGCACCUUCGGUGUCCGAGUUGUAAUCUCUAGAAGUGUUUUCCGCGUUGGACCGCACACAAGUCUGUUGGAAUACAGCGGCAUAGUGGUGAAACCCCCGUAUAUGGUGCGGACGCCCAGCGCUUUGUGAUACACUUUCAAUGAGUCGAGUUGUUUGGGAAUGCAGCUCAAAUUGGGUGGUAAAUUCCAUCUAAAGCUAAAUAUUGGCGAGAGACCGAUAGCGAACAAGUACCGUGAGGGAAAGAUGAAAAGCACUUUGGAAAGAGAGUUAACAGUACGUGAAAUUGUUGGAAGGGAAACGCUUGAAGUCAGACUUGCUUGCCGGAGCUUGCUUCGGUUUGCAGGCCAGCAUCAGUUUUCCGGGGUGGAUAAUGACGGUUUGAAGGUAGCAGUCUCGGCUGUGUUAUAGCUUUCCGUUGGAUACAUCCUGGGGGACUGAGGAACGCAGCGUGCUUUUUGCGAAAGACUCGUCUUUUUCACGCUUAGGAUGCUGGUGGAAUGGCUUUAAACGACCCGUCUUGAA